AGUAAUGUCUGGGAAACUGCCUGAUGGAGGGGGAUAACUGCUGGAAGCGGUAGCUAAUACCGCAUAACGUCGCAAGACCAAAGAGGGGACCUUCGGGCCUCUUGCCAUCGGAUGUGCCCAGAUGGGAUUAGCUAGUAGGUGGGGUAACGGCUCACCUAGGCGACGAUCCCUAGCUGGUCUGAGAGGAUGACCAGCCACACUGGAACUGAGACACGGUCCAG
rnacentral:rRNA from 1 species